rnacentral:rRNA from 1 species
CCCUCUUUGGAUUUAGUAUAUAAAGAGUCGAACCUGCCCAGUGAUAUAUAUUUAACGGCCGCGGUACUCUGACCGUGCAAAGGUAGCAUAAUCAUUUGCCUUAUAAUUGAAGGUUAGUAUGAAUGGUUUGACGAAAACAAUACUGUCUCUUUCUAAUUUUAUAGAACUUGAUUUUUAGGUGAAGAAGCAUAAAUAAAAUUGAAAGACAAGAAGACCCUAUCGAGCUUAAAAAAAUUUUGUUAAAAUAAAAUGGCUAUAAAAGAACAUUUGUACCAAAAAAUUUUAGUUGGGGCGACUAAGGAACAUAUAAAGCUUCCACCAUAAUAAUAUAAGCUUUUUAGCUAUGAUCCAAAAUCUUUGAUUAAAAGAAUUAGUUACCGUAGGGAUAACAGCAUAAUCUUUUUUGAGAGUUCUUAUCGAAAAAAAGGUNUGUGACCUCGAUGUUGGACUAGAAUAUCCUAAAUGAUGCAGAAGUCUUUAAAGGUUGGUCUGUUCAACCACUAAUAUUCUACGUGAUCUGAGUUCAGACCGG